rnacentral:rRNA from 1 species
AGCGAACGCUGGCGGCAGGCUUAACACAUGCAAGUCGAGCGGGCGUAGCAAUACGUCAGCGGCAGACGGGUGAGUAACGCGUGGGAACAUACCUUUUGGUUCGGAACAACACAGGGAAACUUGUGCUAAUACCGGAUAAGCCCUUACGGGGAAAGAUUUAUCGCCGAAAGAUUGGCCCGCGUCUGAUUAGCUAGUUGGUAGGGUAAUGGCCUACCAAGGCGACGAUCAGUAGCUGGUCUGAGAGGAUGAUCAGCCACAUUGGGACUGAGACACGGCCCAAACUCCUACGGGAGGCAGCAGUGGGGAAUAUUGGACAAUGGGCGCAAGCCUGAUCCAGCCAUGCCGCGUGAGUGAUGAAGGCCCCAGGGUUGUAAAGCUCUUUUGUGCGGGAAGAUAAUGACGGUACCGCAAGAAUAGGCCCCGGCUAACUUCGUGCCAGCAGCCGCGGUAAU